UACGUAGGGUGCGAGCGUUAAUCGGAAUUACUGGGCGUAAAGCGUGCGCAGGCGGUUCUCCAAGUCCGUUGUGAAAGCCCCGGGCUCAACCUGGGAAUGGCAGUGGAAACUAGGGGACUGGAAUCUGGCAGAGGGGGGUGGAAUGCCGCGUGUAGCAGUGAAAUGCGUAGAGAUGCGGCGGAACACCGAUGGCGAAGGCAAUCCCCUGGGCCUGUACUGACGCUCAUGCACGAAAGCGUGGGGAGCAAACAGG
rnacentral:rRNA from 1 species